AUGGGUUUCGAGCGGAGCCCGCGUGAGGCUGCCAUCUACCGACGGGGGAGUGGAGGAAAUGUCCUGCUGGUGGGCAUCUACGUUGACGACCUGGUGAUCACCGGCACCAAAGAUGCAGAGGUGGCGGCGUUCAAGGAAGACAUGAAGGCCACGUUCCAGAUGAGUGACCUGGGGCUCCUCUCCUUCUAUCUAGGGAUUGAGGUGCACCAGGACCACUCCGGGAUCGCGCUUCGACAGUCCGCCUACGCCAAGCGCAUCGUUGAGCUAGCUGGGCUCACCGACUGCCAUCCAGCUCUCACUCCGAUGGAGGAGAGGCUGAAACUAAGCCGCGACAGCACAACGGAGGAAGUGGAUGCUACGCAGUACCGACGCCUUGUGGGGAGCCUUCGCUACCUCACUCACACACGGCCGGACUUGGCAUUCUCCGUCGGCUAUGUCAGUCGGUUCAUGGAGCGACCAACGUCGGAACACCAGCAGGCAGUGAAGAGGAUCGUCCGCUACAUAGCAGGGACCCUCGACCACAGCCUCCACUACCCUAGGUGUCCUGGGGCGGCACACUUCGUCGGGUACAGCGACAGCGACCACGCCGGUGACAUCGACACCAGCAAGAGCACGAGCGAGAUCCUCCUCUUCCUCGGCAAGUGUCUCGUGAGCUGGCAAUCAGUCAAGCAGCAGGUGGUGGCCCUGUCCAGCUGUGAGGCUGAGUACAUAGCGGCCUCCACCGCCUGCACUCAGGCGCUCUGGCUUGCUCGACUGCUUGGUGAUCUUCUCGUUCAAGACACCAGAACGGUGCAGCUCCUGGUGGACAGCAAGUCCGCCCUGGCCCUGGCAAAGAACCCCGUGUUCCACGAACGGAGCAAGCACAUCCGACUGAGGAAUCACUUCAUCCGCAGCUGUGUGGAAGAAGGGAGCAUCGAGGCGAGCUACAUCAACACCAAGGAUCAGCUCGCAGACCUGCUCACCAAGCCCCUUGGGAGGGUCAAGUUCCUCGAACUUUGCUCCAGGAUUGGGAUGAUUCAACUCUCCCACAAGACGACGUACAAGACUUAG
rnacentral:rRNA from 1 species